GUGGCAGUAGCUCAGUCCGUAGAGGACUUGGCUUGGGAACCGGAGGGUCGCCGGUUCAAGUCCAGCACGGACCACA